GCGCCCGUAGCUUAACUGGACAGAGCACAUGACUACGGAUCAUGAGGUUGGGAGUUCGACUCUUCCCGGGCGCGCCA
rnacentral:tRNA from 1 species